CUUGGUCAUUUAGAGGAAGUAAAAGUCGUAACAAGGUUUCCGUAGGUGAACCUGCGGAAGGAUCAUUACCGAGUUCAUGCCCUUACGGGUAGAUCUCCCACCCUUUGUAUACUAUACCUUUGUUGCUUUGGCGGGCCGCCUAGCUACUGGCUUCGGCUGGUAUGUGCCCGCCAGAGGACCCAAAACCCUGAAUUAUUAGUGUCGUCUGAGUAAAAUAUUUAAUAUUUAAAACUUUCAACAACGGAUCUCUUGGCUCUGGCAUCGAUGAAGAACGCAGCGAAAUGCGAUAAGUAAUGUGAAUUGCAGAAUUCAGUGAAUCAUCGAAUCUUUGAACGCACAUUGCGCCCCUUGGUAUUCCGAGGGGCAUGCCUAUUCGAGCGUCAUUAUCACCCCUCAAGCCUAGCUUGGUGUUGAGGCCUGCUGUCAAGGCAGCCUCUAAAAUCAGUGGCAGUGCUGUCAGGCUCUAAGCGUAGUAAAUCUAAUCGCUAUAGACACCUGGUGGACACUCGCCAGAACCCCCCCAUUUUUUAAUGAUUGACCUCGGAUUAGGUAGGGAUACCCGCUGAACUUAAGCAUAUCAAUAAGCGGAGGA
rnacentral:rRNA from 1 species